AGGAAUAUUGGUCAAUGGGCGAUGGCCUGAACCAGCCAAGUAGCGUGAAGGAUGACUGCCCUAUGGGUUGUAAACUUCUUUUAUAAAGGAAUAAAGUCGGGUAUGCAUACCCGUUUGCAUGUACUUUAUGAAUAAGGAUCGGCUAACUCCGUGCCAGCAGCCGCGGUAAUACGGAGGAUCCGAGCGUUAUCCGGAUUUAUUGGGUUUAAAGGGAGCGUAGAUGGAUGUUUAAGUCAGUUGUGAAAGUUUGCGGCUCAACCGUAAAAUUGCAGUUGAUACUGGAUGUCUUGAGUGCAGUUGAGGCAGGCGGAAUUCGUGGUGUAGCGGUGAAAUGCUUAGAUAUCACGAAGAACUCCGAUUGCGAAGGCAGCCUGCUAAGCUGCAACUGACAUUGAGGCUCGAAAGUGUGGGUAUCAAACAGGAUUAGAUACCCUGGUAGUCCACACGGUAAACGAUGAAUACUCGCUGUUUGCGAUAUACGGCAAGCGGCCAAGCGAAAGCGUUAAGUAUUCCACCUGGGGAGUACGCCGGCAACGGUGAAACUCAAAGGAAUUGACGGGGGCCCGCACAAGCGGAGGAACAUGUGGUUUAAUUCGAUGAUACGCGAGGAACCUUACCCGGGCUUAAAUUGCACUCGAAUGAUCCGGAAACGGUUCAGCUAGCAAUAGCGAGUGUGAAGGUGCUGCAUGGUUGUCGUCAGCUCGUGCCGUGAGGUGUCGGCUUAAGUGCCAUAACGAGCGCAACCCUUGUUGUCAGUUACUAACAGGUGAUGCUGAGGACUCUGACAAGACUGCCAUCGUAAGAUGUGAGGAAGGUGGGGAUGACGUCAAAUCAGCACGGCCCUUACGUCCGGGGCUACACACGUGUUACAAUGAGGGGUACAGAGGGCCGCUACCACGCGAGUGGAUGCCAAUCCCUAAAACCCCUCUCAGUUCGGACUGGAGUCUGCAACCCGACUCCACGAAGCUGGAUUCGCUAGUAAUCGCGCAUCAGCCACGGCGCGGUGAAUACGUUCCCG
rnacentral:rRNA from 1 species